rnacentral:rRNA from 1 species
GUUAGGAAUCUUCCACAAUGGGGGCAACCCUGAUGGAGCAACACCGCGUGCUGGAUGAAGGCCUUCGGGUCGUAAACAGCUUUUGUAUACGAAGAAUAUGACGGUAAUAUACGAAUAAGGGUCGGCUAACUACGUGCCAGCAGCCGCGGUCAUACGUAGGACCCAAGCGUUAUCCGGAGUGACUGGGCGUAAAGAGUUGCGUAGGCGGCUUAUUAAGCGAGUAGUGAAAUCUGGUGGCUCAACCAUCAACACAUUGCUCGAACUGAUAGGCUUGAGAAUGGUAGAGGUAGUUGGAAUUUCUUGUGUAGGAGUGAAAUCCGUAGAUAUAAGAAGGAACACCGAUGGCGAAAGCAGUCUUCUGGCCCAAUACUGACACUGAGGUACGAAAGCUAGGGUAGCAAACAGGAUUAGAUACCCGUGUAGUCC